rnacentral:rRNA from 1 species
AACGAACGCUGGCGGCAUGCCUAACACAUGCAAGUCGAACGAGACCUUCGGGUCUAGUGGCGCACGGGUGCGUAACGCGUGGGAACCUGCCCUUAGGUUCGGAAUAACUCCCCGACAGGGGUGCUAAUACCGGAUAAUGUCUUCGGACCAAAGAUUUAUCGCCUUUGGAUGUGCCCGCGUUGGAUUAGCUAGUUGGUAGGGUAAAAGCAUACCAAGGCGACGAUCCAUAGCUGGUCUGAGAGGAUGAUCAGCCACACUGGGACUGAGACACGGCCCAGACUCCUACGGGAGGCAGCAGUGGGGAAUAGUGGACAAUGGGCGAAAGCCUGAUCCAGCAAUGCCGCGUGAGUGAUGAAGGCCUUAGGGUUGUAAAGCUCUUUUACCCGGGAUGAUAAUGACAGUACCGGGAGAAUAAGCUCCGGCUAACUCCGUG